rnacentral:rRNA from 1 species
CCUACGGGUGGCAGCAGUAGGGAAUAUUGCUCAAUGGGGGAAACCCUGAAGCAGCAACGCCGCGUGGAGGAUGAAUGUCCUCGGAUUGUAAACUCCUUUUGUUAGAGAAGUUAAUGACGGUAUCUAACGAUUAAGCACCGGCUAACUCCGUGCCAGCAGCCGCGGUAAUACGGAGGGAGCAAGCGUUACUCGGAAUCUCUGGGCGUUAAGAGGGCGUAGGCGGGGUAGCAAGUCAGUUGUGAAAUUCUAUGGGUUAAACCUAGAACGGCAAUUGAAACUUGUAUUCUAGAGUAAGGGAGUGGGAGGGGGAAUUUUUGGUGGAGGGGUGAAAUGCGGAGAGAUCAAGAAGAA